ACGAAUACCACAGGGGGUAGAGCACUGUUUCGGCUAGGGGGUCAUCUCGACUUACCAACCCGAUGCAAACUCCGAAUACCUGUGAGUACUAUCCGGGAGACACACGGUGGGUGCUAACGUCCAUCGUGAAGAGGGAAACAACCCAGACCGCCAGCUAAGGUCCCAAAGUACCAGUUAAGUGGGAAACGAUGUGGGAAGGCUC
rnacentral:rRNA from 13 species